GUGCUGUCAGCACCACUGCAAACAACCUUCUCGUGUGAUGACCUGCCGUAUGGAUACUAUGCUGACACUGAUAACAACUGCGAGGUUUUCCACGUGUGCUUGCCGAUCGCAGACGAGAUCGGGGCGCUGGUGGAGACCGCGCACUUCAGUUAUGUGAAUUUUUUUCGUGAAUUUUCGUAUUCAGCUUCAAUUUACA
rnacentral:misc_RNA from 1 species